GAUGAACGCUGGCGGCAUGCUCAACACAUGCAAGUCGGACGGGAAACACGGGCAACGGUGUUUCCAGUGGCGGACGGGUGAGUAACGCGCAAGAACCUGCCCUUGGGAGGGGAACAAAAGAAGGAAACGGCUGCUAAUAAACUGUAGGCUGCGGAGCAAAAGGAGGAAACCGCCCGAGGCGGGGCUCGCGUCUGAUUAGCUAGUUGGUGAGGCAAUAGCCUACCAAGGCGAUGAUCAGUAGCUGGUCCGAGAGGACGAUCAGCCACACGGGGACAGAGACACAGCCCAGACUCCAACGUCAGCCGGCAGAAGUGAAUUUGCCUCAAUGGGCGAAAGCGUGACGGGGCAAUGCCACGUGGAGGUAGAAGGCCCGCGAGUCGGGAACUUCUUUUCCCGAGGAAGAAGCAAUGACGGUAUCUGGGGGAUGAGCAACGGCUAGCUCUGUG
rnacentral:rRNA from 1 species